rnacentral:lncRNA from 1 species
UUAACAUCAUAAAGGAUAUCAUUGGUGCGUUAAUAAAUCAAAUUUAUUUGUUUUUGGACAGUUAAGAUGUUGAUGCUUUACGUUUCAAUUGGUAUUACUGCAUUAGUGGUGGUGGUAAUACUAGUUCCCAUGUCAGCUUGCCUAUUGAACAACGGGUAAGUUACUCUUAUUUCUUUUUGGAGGGAGCUAUGCAGAUUUGUAUUUGUUUUUAGCUGUUUUGUUCUGUUUGUAUAAAUUGGCAUUAUUUUUCUCAUCAGUGGGAGGAGUCAUAGUGACCAGCCAGUAACCAGUAUGCAGGAUAUGGAUGCAUCCAAGUGUGCUUCCUCAGAUCCCUCAACAUCAAGGAAAGAGCAGAAAGACACCAGCAGUGAAAUCAACACAAACUACUAUACCAAGAAUCACCUAUAUGGCAACAUAGAGGCUGAAGAGGAUGGCGACCAAUUCGAGUGUGAUGGUGGAGAUGAUUCAGUCUAUGGUAACGUGUGAACACAAAAGGAAAGCAUGUGGAAGUCAGCUGGUUCAGAGCCAAUGGUACUCAGUCUCUCAAAGAUUCCAGUGAAAUAUUAACAUUUUAACCCAAUGUAGCAGAACAGGUGACUGCUUAUAUUUGUUAACUUGAUGUAGCUUUAUGGUUCUUAUGGCUAAUGAAUAUGGUGCAUUCUUAUUUGGGCUGUGGCGUUUAUGUUACGGCUUUUACAAGGCGUUUGUUUAUUAUCUGUGGCUUGGUUGAUUCAGAAGGAUUUUUACUAAAUGUUAAAUACAACCAGUAUUUAACAAUAGCUUGUUUCACACUUCCCCAGCUGUCUGUUGAAAUUGUGUCUUGAGGGUUAUCUGAGGCUAGAAUACGAGUGUGGGACUUUCAGUGUUUCUCCACUUGGGGUUCCUCUGUCAUUUAUUUGUUCAACAUCUGUUUAUUUCCAUAGGGUUUGAACUCUUUCACAACACUGAUUUAGUAAACUUUAGGUUUCUUGACCUUCUCUAUAAGAACAUAUCGGUAACAGGCAUACAAAUCAAAAUACAGACAAUUAUGCAUUUUUUUCAUGGUUUUGAUUGUAUCUCUGUAUACAUGAUUAAAUCUGGAGAAAAAAAAAUAUUUCACAAAACAUGUUUUUUUAACAAAUCCUUCAUUUGAUUUGAAAGGCAUUGACAUUUUUUUUAAGGAUUCAGUGUAUUGAAUAGUGGGAAUGGUGUGUUCUCCUUCCUACUGUACAUCAUUG